rnacentral:rRNA from 1 species
GACGAACGCUGGCGGCGUGCCUAAUACAUGCAAGUCGAACGCAGUGGGGACGGGUGAGUAACACGUGGGUAACCUCCCAUCAGAGGGGAUAACACUUGGAAACAGGUGCUAAACCGAUACUGACUGCUGUACCCGCGGUGCAUGAGCUAGUGGGUGAGGUAACGGCAAACCAAGGCCACGAUGCAGAGCCGAGCUGAGAGGGUGAUCGGCCACACUGGGACUGAGACACGGCCCAGACUCCUACGGGAGGCAGCAGUAGGGAAUAUUCAACAAUGGACGAAAGUCUGACCGAGCAACGCCGCGUGAGUGAAGAAGGUUUUCGGAUCGUAAAGCGCUGUUGUUAGAGAAGCGGUAACUGAACAGAAAGCAACGGCUAACUACGUGCCAGCAGCCGCGGUAAUAC